GCUGUGUUUCCAUGUGUGUUAGUUAUCCAUGUCCCAGUUUAGUUUUGUUAUAUUUUUUGUGCCAUCCUGCAAUAAAGCAGCUUUUUGAGUUUAAUUCCUACGUGGUGAGUUUUACGUUUGGGUCCUUCUCCUGCCUGCACACAGCCGAAACAUGACACCAGCAUGUUGAGAUUGACACCAAAGGGGUCACUGUACGAGAUGGACAGACAGAAAGACAUCUCACUGGAAAGGAUCUCGUCACUGCUGGAAGUGUCACAGUGAGUAUACGCAACAAUAAAAUAGACAUUGCAGCAGGAGACAUGCGCCUGGUUGUUUUAGUUCAUGAGAAGAACAGCAUUAAAUUUCUUUGGCCAGUUUUAAGACAGCAUCCCUCGGCCAACAACACUGAUGGACUUUUAGUUAAAAGUCAGUGGUUUAUGAGGAGGUACAACAAGUUCCACCUACAAAACUAAAGAUUUAAAAACCAGGAGAUCAAUGUUACUAAUGGCAAUGCCAGUGACUAUAGCAUUGCCUCUCCUCUCAUGAUGAACUGCUGGCUCACAUCUGCUGACUCUGCCUUGCAGAGACCACUGGCCGAUUUCGUUGUUCCACAACUUUAACUGGAAACUGUGAGAAAAUAUUUCAUUUGAGAAGAGACUACGGAAAAUACUUGCAACACCUGUUUCCAGCAUGAACAAAUAAACAUAUCUUGGAUUGUU